GCACUGCUGACGAGUCCCAAAUAGGACGAAACAGCUGUCCAGUGC
rfam:Echinostoma caproni strain Egypt genome assembly, scaffold: ECPE_scaffold0000525